UCCCAUAAUACUACAAAGAUGAAACUUCUCCAUUUGGCUGUAAUGGUUUGUGUUCUGAUGGCUGUAACUGCUGACUCUCAAGAGUCCGAGACUGCUCGUGAAAUCAACUGGGGAAACUGCCCACAGCUAAAACCAACUCCUGAACAACAAGAAAAGAAGCAACAGGUGAUUUCUGAAUGCCUCAAGACAAUUCCUCCUCCCAAACCCGAAGACAACCCUAGUGCAGUAAGU